AUUGAACGCUGGCGGCAGGCCUAACACAUGCAAGUCGAACGGUAGCACAGAGAGCUUGCUCUCGGGUGACGAGUGGCGGGCGGGUGAGUAAUGUCUGGGAAACUGCCCGAUGGAGGGGGAUAACUACUGGAAACGGUAGCUAAUACCGCAUAACGUCGCAAGACCAAAGUGGGGGAACUUCGGGCCUCACACCAUCGGAUGUGCCCAGAUGGGAUUAGCGAGUAGGUGGGGUAAUGGCUCACCUAGGCGACGAUCCCUAGCUGGUCUGAGAGGAUGACCAGCCAGGCUGGAGCUGAGAGACGGUCCAGCCUCCAACGGGAGGCAGCAGGGGGGAAUAUUGCACAAUGGGCGCAAGCCUGAUGCAGCCAUGCCGCGUGUAUGAAGAAGGCCUUCGGGUUGUAAAGUACUUUCAGCGGGGAGGAAGGCGGUGAAGUUAAUAGCUUCACCGAUUGACGUUACCCGCAGAAGAAGCACCGGCUAACUCCGUGCCAGCAGCCGCCGUAA
rnacentral:rRNA from 1 species